UGGCUCGUUCUCCCUCGUCCGAACUCCGAUUUAUGAUCCGUUUGCGCUCACGAACUCCUAUCGAGACGAACUAUAACUUGUAUUUCAGCCAAUUCUUCCAAAUUCUGCUUCAUUAUUUCUGAAAAUUCGUUCAAACACAAGAAAGUAACAAGUUCUUGACCAUAAACGAAUAUAAGCUCAAAUAGACCAUCAAACACACAAAAUCCUCACAACUAAGCAUCAAAAAUGACACACCAAGAGGUAAAAAUGCAUGUUUAUCACAUUAGUAUAUUUCGAACAAACCUCACAACUAUUUGAACAAACUCACUAACAUAAAGAACAAACCAACAACUGUGAACAGAAAGUCCAUUUAGAAACAACAUUAGUACAUUUCGAACAGACCUCACAACUAUUUGAACAUAUUCACAAACAUAAAGAACAAACCAAGAACUGUGAAUAGAAAGUCCAUUUUUCUAAGAAAUCAAUAUCUGUAAUAUUAAGGUGAGAACAAACCAAAAACUGUGAACAGAAAGUCCAUUUAUUCUCCCUAUAUUUGUCUAAGAAAUCAAAACAGCGGUUCAGCUUAGUGAUUAAACUUAUCGGCAUCAACUUUGCAUUUAAAAAUUGCAAGCUCAAAAUAAGAAAUGGUAUUCACCUUGUGAAAAGGAAAAAUCAAAAUCUGCCCAAAUCUUGCAAGCUCAAAAUAAGAAAUGGUAUUCACCUUGUGAAAAGGAAAAAUCAAAAUCUGCACAAAUAUGGAGAUUUGGUUGAUAGAGAAGGAUAACUAAUUUUGAAUAUAAGAAUGUAAAAAAUAUAUACAUACCAUGUAUUGGCUUUUUUUGGCCUUUCAAAGACAAUAUCCAUUGCAAAUUUCGCAUAUAUUUUAGAAAUAUUUAACUUAAAAUUGCUCAAUUACGAACAAAUCAAGACAUGUUUCGAACAGGCACCCAUACCAUCUGAAGCUUUCCCAUUCCCCUUUCCAGAAGCCAUAUGACGCAAUUUUUCUAUACAGUAUAACAAAUCCAGAACUCAUAAUCAAAGGAAAAUCCUAAAAAUCAUAUUCGAUAGAACCUAAUCUAAGCCCUCAUUCUAUAUAAUGUAAUCCAUAUAACCUAAUCGAAUUUCAAAACCCAGAAACUAAGCGAAAAUCAUAUUACAUAUAACAUGAUCGGAAUCAGAAACUCAGAUUUUUGGUAUUGAUUUUCGAUUUCGUUUGAUACAUUUAAACCCUAACAAAGAAGUUUGAUUUGGAUUUCGAAAACCCAACACAAAAAUCGAUUCAAACCCCCUAAAACCCAACAAAAAUUGUUUCUUGAAGCAGCAAUCGAACAAAACUCAAAAACCCAUUGCCUUACCCGUUCGAUUUCAAACGUCCACCGCGUUGACCCCCUCGUUCACCGCGACGACGCCAUGGAAAAAGAAAAAGGUUAGUUAUUUUGCAGAGAAUGUGAGAGACGACUGAGAGGUUGAGAGAGAGAGAGAGAGAGAGAGAGAGAGGG
rnacentral:lncRNA from 1 species